rnacentral:lncRNA from 1 species
ACACUUGAGCCCGUAUUAAAUAAGCUCAUUGCCCCUGUGAUUUCCGCUUCUGCAAUUUGGGGACCGCUUAUGUGGUCCCGCACUUGCGAACAAAAGACCGCAUAUGCAGUUUUUGGCAAAGAGGGGUCGACCGCUUUUGCGGUCUGGGGGCCGCAUAAGAGGAUCCGAUUCUGCGGUUCCUUGGCCGCUUUUGCGAUUUUCCCCUUGGGCCGGCCUGGCCGCUUUUGCGGUAAAAGGACCGUUUUUGCGGUCUCCACUUCUGCGGUCCAUGAGCUGUAUAAGUGGUUUUAACAGAAGCAUCAGAAGUUUUUCCUUUUCAAAAAUCAACUUCGCUCGAACGUCGACCAUUUGACGCUCGGGGCUCCCGAUCCCCGCUCGAACAUACCGACAAGUUUGAAAUCAUGAGGCGGACCUAGUCGAACCCUCGAAACACCCAAAACGACACUAAAUCAAGGAAUCUAGCCCUAAAACCAAUUGAUCCAAUUUAAUGAACUCCAAGUUCUUAAUUUCCCUUCAACGUGUCAAAACUCCCUUAGCCUACUCGGAUUGACACCAAAUCUUAC